rnacentral:ncRNA from 1 species
CUCAUUAAAUCAGUUAUGGUUCAUUUGAUCGUACAGUUUACUUGGAUAACUGUGUAAUUCUAGAGCUAAUACAUGCGAGAAGCGCCGACCUCGCGGGAGGCGUGCAUUUAUCAGACCAAAAACCGGCCGCGUCUUCGGGCGCGUUCGCCUUGGUGACUCUGGAUAACUUUGCGGAUCGCACGGUCUAGCACCGGCGACGGAUCAUUCAAGUGUCUGCCCUAUCAACUUUCGUCGGUACGGUAUUUGCCUACCGAGGUUCUUACGGGUGACGGGGAAUCAGGGUUCGAUUCCGGAGAGGGAGCCUGAGAAACGGCUACCACAUCCAAGGAAGGCAGCAGGCGCGCAAAUUACCCAUUCCCGACGCGGGGAGGUAGUGACGAAAAAUAACAAUGCAGGACUCGUUCGAGGCCCUGUAAUUGGAAUGAGUACACUUUAAAAGCUUUAACGAGUAUCCAUUGGAGGGCAAGUCUGGUGCCAGCAGCCGCGGUAAUUCCAGCUCCAAAAGUAUAUAUUUAAGUUGUUGCGGUUAAAAAGCUCGUAGUUGGAUUUUGGGCGCAGGCGGCCGGUCCGUCGCAAGGCGUGUACUGGACGUCCUGGCCUUCCCUCCGGUUCUCCGCCGGUGCUCUUGACUGAGUGUCGGCGGCGGCCGGAACGUUUACUUUGAAAAAAUUAGAGUGUUCAAAGCAGGCUCUCGAGCCUGGAUAAUGGUGCAUGGAAUAAUGGAAUAGGACCUCGGUGAAUUUUGUUCACAUUGGCGAUGA